rnacentral:rRNA from 1 species
UACGUAGGGCGCAAGCGUUGUCCGGAAUUAUUGGGCGUGAAGAGCUCGUAGGCGGUUUGUCGCGUCUGUCGUGAAAGCCCACGGCUUAACCGUGGGUCUGCGGUGGAUACGGGCAGACUAGAGGCAGGUAGGGGAGAAUGGAAUCCCCGGUGUAGCGGUGAAAUGCGCAGAUAUCGGGAGGAACACCGGUGGCGAAGGCAGCUCGCUGGGACGGUACUGACGCUGAGGCGCGAAAGCGUGGGGAGCAAACAGG